GGGGAGGGAGGGAGGGGGGGUUCAAGGGAAGAACAUGAUAUCCAGCUUUGAGGAGCAGCACGAGCGCAGAAUGGAGGAGCCAAAGCGCAGCGCGCAGACGGAGCACACUUGGAUUAUAAAAAGCAAAAAUGGGGAGAUUUCUGUGUUUGGAGGCUAUCUCACCGGGGUGGAGCGUGGCGAGCACUCGGGACGGUCAGGAGACGACAGUGCACGAGGAACUUGCGCACACAUCUGUACACAUCUGGCCCAGGCUGCGAGUCUCUGACGGCCAGUGUACGAGCUGUGUGCUGUCUGCUGACGGACGGACCAUGUUGUCCAAAUCCCUGGACAGAAAAAACAGACUGCAAGCAGCAGGACACGCUCGUGGAAUUUAUUUCAUGGGAGAACGACACUCGGCUCAUAUCUGUGUAGACUUUUUCCUUUUAUUUGUUUCCCCUCUGGUCCUUGAAAUGUUUAUUUAUUUAUUGAUACUUGUCAUAAAGCAGGAUUGGAUCUGGUGUCUUCAUGCCAUUUCUGUGUUUCAUGUUGUAAAUAUGCGUUUAUAUUUUUUUUCUGCAAUAAAACUGGUUUGAAUAUAAAGUA